GCGGCGGACGGGUGAGUAACGCGUGGGAACGUGCCCUUCUCUGCGGAAUAGCCACUGGAAACGGUGAGUAAUACCGCAUACGCCCUUCGGGGGAAAGAUUUAUCGGAGAAGGAUCGGCCCGCGUCUGAUUAGGUAGUUGGUGGGGUAAUGGCCUACCAAGCCUACGAUCAGUAGCUGGUUUUAGAGGAUGAUCAGCCACACUGGGACUGAGACACGGCCCAGACUCCUACGGGAGGCAGCAGUGGGGAAUCUUAGACAAUGGGCGCAAGCCUGAUCUAGCCAUGCCGCGUGAGCGAUGAAGGCCCUAGGGUCGUAAAGCUCUUUCGCCAGGGAUGAUAAUGACAGUACCUGGUAAAGAAACCCCGGCUAACUCCGUGCCAGCAGCCGCGGUAAUACGGAGGGGGUUAGCGUUGUUCGGAAUUACUGGGCGUAAAGCGCGCGUAGGCGGACCAGAAAGUUGGGGGUGAAAUCCCGGGGCUCAACCCCGGAACGGCCUCCAAAACUCCUGGUCUUGAGUUCGAGAGAGGUGAGUGGAAUUCCGAGUGUAGAGGUGAAAUUCGUAGAUAUUCNGAGGAACACCAGUGGCGAAGGCGGCUCACUGGCUCGAUACUGACGCUGAGGUGCGAAAGUGUGGGGAGCAAACAGGAUUAGAUACCCUGGUAGAAGGGCG
rnacentral:rRNA from 1 species